AGCCAUGCAGUGAGCCCAAAGCGAACUAUUCUUUCGCCUUUUACUAAAGAAUACCGUGUGCGCAUUGCAAUUAGUGGCAUACUCCAAUUUUUUGGGGGGGGGGGGUGCUCUCUUUUUGAGUGCC
rnacentral:snRNA from 1 species